CAGUAGCCGCGGGAAUACGUAGGGUGCGAGCGUUAAUCGGAAUUACUGGGCGUAAAGCGGGCGCAGACGGUUACUUAAGCAGGAUGUGAAAUCCCCGGGCUCAACCUGGGAACUGCGUUCUGAACUGGGUAACUAGAGUGUGUUAGAGGGAGGUAGAAUUCCACGUGUAGCAGUGAAAUGCGUAGAGAUGUGGAGGAAUACCGAUGGCGAAGGCAGCCUCCUGGGAUAACACUGACGUUCAUGCCCGAAAGCGUGGGUAGCAAACAGGAUUAGAUACCCCGGUAGUCCCUGUCUCUUAUAC
rnacentral:rRNA from 1 species